rnacentral:rRNA from 1 species
UAUCGGGAGCAGACAACAGGGAUUGCCCUAGUAACGGCGAGUGAAGCGGCAACAGCUCAAAUUUGAAAUCUGGCUCUUUUAGAGUCCGAGUUGUAAUUUGCAGAGGGCGCUUUGGCUUUGGCAGCGGUCCAAGUUCCUUGGAACAGGACGUCACAGAGGGUGAGAAUCCCGUACGUGGUCGCUGGCUAUUGCCGUGUAAAGCCCCUUCGACGAGUCGAGUUGUUUGGGAAUGCAGCUCUAAAUGGGAGGUACAUUUCUUCUAAAGCUAAAUAUUGGCCAGAGACCGAUAGCGCACAAGUAGAGUGAUCGAAAGAUGAAAAGCACUUUGGAAAGAGAGUCAAACAGCACGUGAAAUUGUUGAAAGGGAAGCGCUUGCAGCCAGACUUGCUUACAGUUGCUCAUCCGGGUUUUUACCCGGUGCACUCUUCUGUAGGCAGGCCAGCAUCAGUUUGGGCGGUAGGAUAAAGGUCUCUGUCACGUACCUCCUUUCGGGGAGGCCUUAUAGGGGAGACGACAUACUACCAGCCUGGACUGAGGUCCGCGCAUCUGCUAGGAUGCUGGCGUAAUGGCUGUAAGCGGCCCGUCUUGAAACACGGACCAAGGAGUCUAACAUCUAUGCGAGUGUUUGGGUGUCAAGCCCGAGCGCGUAAUGAAAGUGAACGGAGGUGGGAACCCGCAAGGGUGCACCAUCGACCGAUCCUGAUGUCUUCGGAAGGAUUUGAGUAAGAGCAUGGCUGUUGGGACCCGAAAGAUGGUGAACUAUGCUUGAAUAGGGUGAAGCCAGAGGAAACUCUGGUGGAGGCUCGCAGCGGUUCUGACGUGCAAAUCGAUCGUCAAAUUUGGGCAUAGGGGCGAAAGACUAAUCGAACUAUCUAGUAGCUGGUCCUGCGGUCUCCUCCCACCAGAGAAAGAAAAGAAAAA